AGUAUGAAGAAUACGUGGAGUCGCAACUCACCAAAUCUCGUGUCGAUGGAAAAUCCCUCUUGGAACAACAGAUGAUAUUCAUCAACAACUCAAAUUAAAUUUGUUCCCGAAAAUAAAUAAUGAGCGUGGCCUCUACAUGCAUUAGACGUGCAAGAAUAUUUUUUCUACGAGUACUUUUUAUUUUCUUUCCUUGUGUUGAUCUAAUUAUAUUAUAUUGCACAAAUAUGAUUGCUUUCCAAUAAUAGCCACUUCUUAUGAUGUAUAGCCUCUGUAUGCUGGAGAUGAUUAAAAUAAAAACACUUUUUAAAAUAUAAAAUAUGAACCAUUUUCAGUUAUUAGAUCAUCAAGAUCUAUGAUUGAUUAUGUGUCACAAAUUAUGUGUGGAUAUAUUACCACACAUAAUUAUGUAUUGAUAAAACUUCAUAUUCUUAUAGUGAUUUUGGUUGUAAAAUUUUCAUUGAACGAGGAGAGAGAGAGGAUCUCGAUCGUGGCAAACGGUCCGUCGAGGGAGGCGGUGGUCGGGCCGGCGGCGACGCUGGUGGAGAAGGACGGUGGCGCGAUGUAUAAUACAAUGAAGUAUAAAGAGUAUGUGGAGUUGCAACUCACCAUAUCUUGUGUUGGAGGAAAAUCCCUCUUGGAACAUCAAAUGAUAGAUAUUCAACGUCAAUUAAAUUAAGUCAAUAUAGGAAAUUAAAUUAAAUUAUGUCAACGCAUAAUUAGUAUGUGGCCUCCACGAUUAUUAGGCAGACUAAAUUAAAAUAAUGAAAAAUAGCAAUUAGAAGUGAAUUAGAUAUUUGAACCUAUAAUGCACGCAUUAUAUCAGAUCAAGUGUUUAAUUUAUUCUCUUUUUUAUAUACAUUAAAUCAUUUGUCGUGCUUGUAGCUGUAUGCAGGGACGGAGCCGAGGGGGCGUAGGGGGGCUAGAGCCCCUCCCUAAAUUUUGAGUUUUUUUUUUUUUUUUUUUUUUAAUUUUUAAAAUAUAUAUAUAGAUAUAUGUUUAUACCUAUUAUAAAAUAAUUUUAUUUUAUAAAAGAGUAUUUGGUUAUUAUAUUCUCUCAUAUAUAUACUUAAUUUAAGGAUAAUUCCGUUAUUUAAAACUAUAUAAUCUAUGAAAUAUUGUUUGUUAUUAUUACUAUUAUACUUGUCUUUUAAUAAAAAAUGCCUAAUAUGUAUGAAAUGCUAAAAAAAAUUAUAAUGUAUUGAAACUAAUUUGUAAUAUAUAGAAAAUAUAUAAUCUAUGAACAUGUUGUUUGUUAUUAUUAUUAUUAUUAUUAUGCUUUCCUUUUAAUAAAAAAUGUCUUAAAUAUACGGAAUGUCCAAAAAAAGUUUUGUGAUAUAUUGAAACUAUAUAAUCUAUGAAAAUAUUGUUCGUUAUUAUUAGUAUUAUGCUCGUAUUUUAAUAAAAAAAAUACCUUAAAUAUACAGAAUGCCCAAAAAAAAUUUCUCGGGGCCUACCGCCCCCGAACCCCCGUACAAUUUCAGCCCCCCCGAAAUUAAUUCCUGGCUCCGUCCCUGGCCUGUAUGCCAGUUAGAAAAAGAUCACGCAUGUCUGGAGUAUUAAUUAUAAUCUUUAAUUAACUAUAAAAUAUUGUGAUGAACUAUUAAUUAUAAUCUUUAAUUAACUAUAAAAUAUUGUGAUGAAUGAAACACAAUCGCGGAAAUCGUGGAAUGGCAAUCCCCAGGAAUUUCGAUUUACUUAUUAUGUAAUUUAUACAAAAAAAAAAAAUAGAAAUUAACUGCUAAUUAAAAAGUAUAUUACUUAAAAUAUUACUUAGUGUCAUUCAGAAACCAGUUGCACGGAAGAGUGCCUCAAAGUAUAUUACUUAAAAUAUUAUAAAAAUUUAAAUAUUAUUAUAAUACUAUUAAAAAAAUGGGGUACAGGUAUAUCCUAACUGCCCUAUUUGCUUAUUACGUAAUUUAUCAAAAAAUAAGAAUAAGAAAUUAACUGCAAAUUAAAAAUUAUAUUAUAUAAAAUAUUAUUAUAAUACUAUUAAAAAAAUGGGGUACAAGUGUAUCCUAACUGCCCCAUGUUGCAUGCGUCCGCCACUGAAAUUAUUAAUUUGAUAGGCUUUUUUUUAUAAAAUUACUAAUUAAAUAAUUAAAUUUAAAGAUUAGACUACAGUGAAUUCGAAAAAUCUUUAAUCUUAAACAUUAAUCACUUUACUCCUAAAUUAAUUUACAUACGCUACAAAUUUGGUGCAACUACAAUGUGGAAAUCAUGUGUAUUUUGUGGGUGGAACGCCACCCCUCGAUUCAAUUAAUUAAUAUUUUUAUAUAUUCUUUUUAUUUUAACACACGUAAUCAAAUCAAAUCUUUAAAUCUUAAUUAAUAACAAAAUUAAAAAUAAAAGAAGAAAUACUUUUAUAACUCAAAAGAAGAAACAUCUUAAAAUUUUAAAAAUUUAGCAAUAGAAGUGAAUAAAUAUUUGAAACUAUAAGUGUUUUAUUCUCUCUCUCUCUCUCUCAUUAUUCAUGAACAUAAUUGAUCACCUACUCACUGUGGGCAAAAAUAACGUGCUCAUCACUGAUGUGACAAUUUUAAUUAAAAAAAAUUAGCAUAUCUUACUCUAAUUAAAUUUAUCUUAUUCUAAUUAAAUUAUCACAUCAAUGAUGAACACGUUAUGUUUGCCUAUGGUUGUUUGCCUAUGGUGGUUGGUGAUGUUUCUAUAUAUAUUCAUUAAAUCAUUUGUCGUGUUUGUAGUUAAUUGUAUAUGCGGGUAGAUCACAUGCGCACGACUUUUCGAGUAUAAAUUAGUAAUAAUUUUUAAUUAGCUCUAUAAUCGAACGCAAUCAAGGAAAUCGUUGAAAGGUUGUUCUAGAAUCUUGCUACGUGUACCUAUGUAAAAUUGACAAAUCAUUGCUACAACACUAUAAAUUACUAAUUUUAUUUUGUUGAUAGUUAUUAAAAUAUUCCACGAAAAUAUAAGGUGGCGCAAAUUAAAAAAAAAAUUGUAGUAUUAUUUAUUUAGUAAGUGGAGAAAAUGACUCAGAAAUUAAGAAAAAUGAAAAAGUUAAUUAAAUUAAUGAGUAGAGAAAGAGAUCCACAAAUUAGUCAAAUCAUUACUAGAAAUAGGUUUGUGAUAGAUUCGUGUUCAGAUCGAGCAUAUCCUUAAUAAAUUGGUUCAAACAUUAGGCCGAUACGAUAAUAAUUCGACACGCAUGAUUUCCAACCCUAGGCGGAGAAGGGGAUUAAGCUCCCAUGCACCAAUUAUCAUUCUUUUUUCAAAAAAAAUACUUAUAACCAUCAAAAUUUUGGUAUUUUGUGUGAACAAUUGUGCUAAUUAAAACCUCCAUCAUGAACUUGAAUAAAAAAAAAAUAUAUAUUUGUAUUUUACACUCAAAUCCACAGAUAUUUCAUGUGGUAUAUAUAUAGUAGCCCGCCACUAGGUAUUAUAAUAAUUGAUUAAUUUCUAAAGUGGAUGGCUAAUAAAAUAAACGUGGGAAUUGCUAAUAAAAUUAACGUGGUAAAAAUGAAGCUCAUUACCUCUAUAUAUACUUCCCCUACAACUCCCAUUUUAACCAAAUUACAAGAAGAAAAAAAAAAAAAGAAAUUAAGCUGAAAAUGGCAUCAAUUGUUGCAGCUUCUGAUUCAUUUAAGCCCUUUGAAUUCGAUGCAACCCUAAAAGUUAUAGCAGAUUCUUCUUCUUUGAAAUCAGUCCCUUCAAAAUUCAACUUCAGCAAUGAGCGCACUGCUUUCACUUCCGACUCACUCCCCACCGUCGAUUUCUCAGCCCUCGUCGCCGGCGAUCCUCAUCAACGCUCGAAAGCCGUCGACGAUCUCGCCGCAGCAUGUCGAGAAUGGGGAUUUUUCAUCGUAAGAUCAAUUACAUUACAUAAUUAAUUAAAUAUAUAGCUAGUAAUACAUGAUCAGUCCGCCGUCGGUGGUCCGUCGCAAGACUUGCAACGGCCCGUGACUUCCGUCGCAAGGAUCAGUUUGCGACAGGGAAAAAAAAAAGCGACGUUUUUGCGACGGAAAAUCCGUCGCUAGUUAGUGAAAUUUUCAUAGUGUUAUUUUUGUUGUUUACAUAAUAGGGCCAAUUAGUCAUAGCUUCCGACUAACUUAAAGAGAGUUUUCGUUGAUUUUUUAGUAUUUAAAAAAUAUUUCAGGCUGUUUGUAGCAUAUUGCUAACUGUGAUGUUUGUUUCUUGAAGACAUAUCAUCUUAAGUUGAUUAAGUGAACAACGUAGAUAAAUAUAGGCAACAUUAUGAUAUUUUAAAUUUUUGAUUUGAAAGUCAGCAUCAGAUCAAAGUUCGGGCUAUAUUUUAAAAGUAACCCUAUAUUCUGAAUGAAUGUUCGUGUGUGAAGCUUGUGAAUCACGGCGUACCUGAGAGCUUGAUGGAAGCAAUGUUUAUCGCAGUGAAAGAAUUCUUCAGUUUGCCAGACUCGGAGAAGAAGCAAUACGAAGCGAAGAGUGCUUCAGAUCCCAUCAAAUGUGGCAAUUUCAACGUCGUCAACGCUUCAAACCAGAGCUUCACUCUAUGGAGGGAUUACCUUAAGCUCUACGUGCAUCCCAACUUCCAUUGCCCUCACCAACCCCAACUCUUAAGGUAAAAAAUAACCCAUGUUUUAAAUAUAGCGUGUAUUCUCUUUGAUUGUAAAUUUUUCAUUAGAAAAGAAGGAAAAAAGAAAAGAUGAAUUUCUUUUAUUACAUUAUCAUCUAAGUGAAUGCACCAUAGAUGUUACGCUUGAUGAAAUACUUUGAUCUGACAUUGUAUUAUGUCUUUAGGGAUGUGGUGUUGGAAUACAGCCAAAUCACCAGAAAACUAGCUACUACGCUAAUCGAGGCUGUAUGCGAAGCUUUAGAAUUGAAUCAACGUUACGUGGAUGAAAUAUUGAAGAUGGAUUCGAGUUUUCAAAUGUUCGCGACGAAUUACUAUCCACGCUGCCCUCAGCCCGAUCAAGCCAUCGGCAUUCCGGCGCAUACGGAUCCAGGUUUGUUCACGUUUCUCAUACACAACGGCGUCGCCGGCCUGCAGAUUGAGCAUGAUGGCAAAUGGUUCAACGCUGAUUCUCCUCACAAUUCUAUUUUGGUUAAUGCAGCUGACCAACUUGAGGUAUACUAUAUAUCACUCUAUUAUUUAUAGAAAAUUUAAAAUACUCAUGCACUUUGUUACGUCAAUUCAUACAUUGGAAAUAUAAACUUUUAUUAAAAUACGUAGGAAAUAUUUACUCCAAAGUGAAAAGAAACCCUUGAAUGUGACAAGUUUACUAAGGGUGAGUAUUUUUUUUUUUUUUUAAAGAGGACAUUUUCUACAAUUGCUUUAGAGUUAAUUAUUGUGUCUAUACGUAAUAUAUUCAAAUUUUGAUUUUUAACUGACACUAUUUUUUUUAGUCAAUUAAUUAUACAUAAACUUAGAAUUUUUGUGGAAUUUGGUUUGAAUUAAAAUUUAGGCAAUAUUUUUAUCCUAUGCGAGAGCUAAAACGUUAUCUUAUCUUUUAGCUUAUAUAUAUAAAACAUGUCACGCAAUAAAAUUCCGAUGUCCACAUUGAAUAAAUGUGUCAAUUUGGCCUGAAUUCUAAAAGGAUCAAAGUUCAUAUGUGCAUGUAUUAAUUGACUGAAAAAUAGUAUUGGUUGAAAACCAAAAUUUAAAUAUACUUCAUGUAUUUAUAAUUAACUUACAUGCAAUUAACCCUUUGUUUUCUAGAAAAUGGAUAGUUCUGUACGCAUUAAUUAUGUGGUAUGCAUAUAUAAAUUAAUUAACUAAUUGUGUUGUUUGUUUGUUUGUAUAAAUGAAUAGAUUUUCACAAACGGAAGGUGCAAGAGUGUGAAGCAUAGAGCGGUGGUGAAUGAGGAGAGAGAGAGGUUCUCGAUCGUGGUGGCGAAUGGUCCGUCGGGGGAGGCGGUGGUGGGGCCGGCGGCGGCCCUGGUGGAGAAAGAUGGCGGCGCGAAGUAUAAUGCAAUGAAGUAUGAAGAAUACGUGGAGUCGCAACUCACCAAAUCUCGUGUCGAUGGAAAAACCCUCUUGGAACAACAGAUGAUAUUCAUCAACAACUCUAAUUAAAUUUGUUACCGAAAAUAAAUAAUGUGAAAGAAUUAAUAAGUUUUUAGCAGAGCGUGGCCUCUACAUGCAUUAGACGUGCAAGAAUAUUUUUUCUACAACGAGUACUUUUUAUUUUCUUUGUUUGUGUUGACCUAAUUAUAUUAUAUUGCAUUUCUUUGCAAUGAUUGCUA
rnacentral:lncRNA from 1 species